rnacentral:misc_RNA from 1 species
GAUGAAGAACGUAGCGAAAUGCGAUACGUAAUGUGAAUUGCAGAAUUCAGUGAAUCAUCGAAUCUUUGAACGCAUAUUGCGCUCUCUGGUAUUCUGGAGAGCAUGCUUGUUUGAGUAUCAGUAAACACCUCAACUUCCAUAUCUUUUUUGAAAUGGGAGUUGGACUUGAGUGAUCCCAACGCUUUUCCUCACCGAAAAGUGGCGGGUUACUUGAAAUGCAGGUGCAGCUGGACUUUUCUCUGAGCUAUAAGCAUAUCUAUUUAGUCUGCCUAAAAAACAGAUUAUUACCUUUGCUGCAGCUAACAUAAAGGAGAUUAGUUCUUGUGCUGACUGAUGCAGGAUUCACAAAGACAGGCUUCGGCCGACUUUGUAAACUCGAUCUCAAAUCAAGUAAGACUACCCGCUGAACUUAAGCAUAUCAAUAAGCGGAGGA